GAUGAACGCUGGCGGCGUGCCUAAUACAUGCAAGUCGAGCGAACAGACGAGGAGCUUGCUCCUCUGACGUUAGCGGCGGACGGGUGAGUAACACGUGGAUAACCUACCAAUAAGACUGGGAUAACUUCGGGAAACCGGAGCUAAUACCGGAUAAUAUAUUGAACCGCAUGGUUCAAUAGUGAAAGACGGUUUUGCUGUCACUUAUAGAUGGAUCCGCGCCGCAUUAGCUAGUUGGUAAGGUAACGGCUUACCAAGGCAACGAUGCGUAGCCGACCUGAGAGGGUGAUCGGCCACACUGGAACUGAGACACGGUCCAGAAUCCUACGGGAGGCAGCAGUAGGGAAUCUUCCGCAAUGGGCGAAAGCCUGACGGAGCAACGCCGCGUGAGUGAUGAAGGUCUUCGGAUCGUAAAACUCUGUUAUUAGGGAAGAACAAAUGUGUAAGUAACUAUGCACGUCUUGACGGUACCUAAGCAGAAAGCCACGGCUAACUACGU
rnacentral:rRNA from 1 species